AUUGAACGCUGGCGGCAGGCUUAACACAUGCAAGUCGAGCGGGGUGAUGUAGCUUGCUACAUUACCUAGCGGCGGACGGGUGAGUAAUGCUUAGGAAUCUGCCUAUUAGUGGGGGACAACAUUCCGAAAGGAAUGCUAAUACCGCAUACGUCCUACGGGAGAAAGCAGGGGAUCUUCGGACCUUGCGCUAAUAGACGAGCCUAAGUCAGAUUAGCUAGUUGGUGGGGUAAAGGCCUACCAAGGCGACGAUCUGUAGCGGGUCUGAGAGGAUGAUCCGCCACACUGGGACUGAGACACGGCCCAGACUCCUACGGGAGGCAGCAGUGGGGAAUAUUGGACAAUGGGCGAAAGCCUGAUCCAGCCAUGCCGCGUGUGUGAAGAAGGCCUUUUGGUUGUAAAGCACUUUAAGCGAGGAGGAGGCUACUUGGAUUAAUACUCUAGGAUAGUGGACGUUACUCGCAGAAUAAGCACCGGCUAACUCUGUGCCAGCAGCCGCAGUAA
rnacentral:rRNA from 1 species